UACGGAGGGUGCGAGCGUUGUUCGGAUUUACUGGGCGUAAAGGGCGCGCAGGCGGCUAUCCAAGUCAGGCGUGAAAGCCCCGGGCUUAACCUGGGAGGUGCGUCUGGGACUGGGUGGCUAGAGUUCGGGAGAGGAGAGUGGAAUUCCCAGUGUAGAGGUGAAAUUCGUAGAUAUUGGGAAGAACACCGGUGGCGAAGGCGGCUCUCUGGACCGAGACUGACGCUGAGGCGCGAAAGCGUGGGGAGCAAACAGG
rnacentral:rRNA from 1 species